rnacentral:rRNA from 1 species
UACGGAGGAUCCAAGCGUUAUCCGGAUUUAUUGGGUUUAAAGGGUGCGUAGGCGGCCUGUUAAGUCAGGGGUGAAAGACGGUAGCUCAACUAUCGCAGUGCCCUUGAUACUGAUGGGCUUGAAUUGACUAGAGGUAGGCGGAAUGUGACAAGUAGCGGUGAAAUGCAUAGAUAUGUCACAGAACACCGAUGGCGAAGGCAGCCUCCUGGGCCAGCACUGACGCUCAUGCACGAAAGCGUGGGGAGCAAACAG